GCUGGUAAUAACUGUAACUUUGGGAAAGUCUUAACCAUUCUGAAUUUUAAUUUUUUUUUCACAGAAAGCCCAGAACCCAGGCAACUUGAUCCUAAUGGUACCCUGAAAAACUCAGAAGCACCAUCUGUCCUCUUGUGUCUGCUUGGAAUCCUAUUUUUGAGACAGGUGCAAAACCACAGAGGCAGAGAGGAAGAAAUGAGAGCGACAGAGAGGACCUCACCUGGGUGUUAAGAUCCAAGUGGAGAGAAGCAGAAAAUGCCCUGCUGGGACUCACACCGGUGCUCAGGGCAGACACCCAAAGAUCCUGUCAAGAUUUCCUCUAAGCCCUGUCUUGUCAUUCUUUCCCGUGCUGUCCUGCUCUCCACUGUAGUGAUACAUCAUUUGUAUUUUUAAUAAAUAAAUCUUUCCUGAAGAUCAGGGAGUAAAACAGCUCCACUGGUCAGCCAGUGUGGUGUGGUGACACACACCUUUAAUCCCAGUAGCCAAACUGCUUUGCCGCAGAAACUGGGCUAUAGUGGUGCAUACCUUUAAUCCCAGCCCUAGAGAAGAAUAUAAGACGGGAGGAGACAGCUCUCACACAUAGUCUCAAUCUGAGAUUCCUGGAGGCAGGUGGAGACAACCGGACAGCCCAGAGGCGGGAGUCUACACAGAGAUGAACGGGGAGCAAGGGCUGGCGCUCACACCUGUCCCUGGGAGAGGAUAUUUUCUAUGAAUUUGGA